AUUGAACGCUGGCGGCAGGCUUAACACAUGCAAGUCGAACGAGUGGCGGACGGGUGAGUAAUGCUUGGGAAUCUAGCUUAUGGAGGGGGAUAACUAUGGGAAACUGUAGCUAAUACCGCGUACCAUAGGAUGAGCCCAAGUGGGAUUAGGUAGUUGGUGAGGUAAAGGCUCACCAAGCCGACGAUCUCUAGCUGGUCUGAGAGGGUGACCGGCCACACUGGGAAGGAGAAACGGCCCAGACUCAUACGGGAGGCAGGAGUGGGGAAUAUUGCGCAAUGGGGGCAACCUGACGCAGCCAUGCCGCGUGAAUGAAGAAGGCCUUCGGGUUGUAAAGUUCUGUCGGUAGCGAGGCGUUAACUACAGAAGAAGCACCGGCUAACUCCGUGCCAGCAGCCGCGGUAAUAC
rnacentral:rRNA from 1 species